UACGGAGGGGGCUAGCGUUGUUCGGAAUUACUGGGCGUAAAGCGUGCGUAGACGGUUAUGUAAGUCGGGUGUGAAAGCCCCGGGCUCAACCUGGGAAUGCCAUUCGAGACUGCAUAGCUAGGGUGCGGAAGAGGGAAGCGGAAUUUCCGGUGUAGCGGUGAAAUGCGUAGAUAUCGGAAGGAACACCAGUGGCGAAGGCGGCGAUCUGGACGAUGACUGACGCUGAGACGCGAAAGCGUGGGGAGCAAACAGG
rnacentral:rRNA from 1 species